GGUCAGCUGACACAUCCCUGCCAAUCUCCGGCAGACCCUCCCUCCUAGACCCUCCCACCUCCUGUACAGCAUCCAUGUUGAAGCUGCCUUCAACAUGGAUGCUGUCCAGGAAGUAGGAGGGUCUGGGAGGGAGGGUCUGCCGGAGAUUGGCAGGGAUGUGUAAGCUG
rnacentral:miRNA from 1 species